AUAGGAUCUCGGGGUCAGCUUUUCUUUUUCUCAACAAUAACUUAAGAAACCAUCUAGAAAUAAAAUAUACUUUAAUUAUUCCCGCUAACAUCCUACUGUGUCUGCUUGUCUGCUUUCCAUGCUCUUUCCUGGGAGUAAUGAGAUCCACAAGCAGAAGAGUAACCAGAAAGGAUCAAAUGUCUUCGUGUUGUUUCAUUUUCUGUUAGGUGGGAAACUUUCAGCGACAACUGGCAGAAGCUAAAGAAGACAACUGCAAAGUCACAAUUAUGUUGGAGAAUGUGCUGGCUUCUCACAGUAAGAUGCAAGGUGCUCUGGAGAAAGUACAAAUAGAGCUUGGGCGGAGGGAUUCAGAGAUUGCAGGCCUCAAGAAAGAAAGGGAUCUCAAUCAACAGAGGGUGCAGAAGCUGGAAGCUGAAGUGGACCAGUGGCAGGCCAGGAUGCUUGUCAUGGAGGACCAGCACAACAGUGAGAUUGAAUCUCUACAAAAAGCCCUAGAUGUAGCUAGAGAAGACAACAGGAAACUUGCUAUGAGUCUGGAGCAAGCUCUCCAGACAAAUAAUCAUCUGCAAACAAAGCUAGAUCACAUUCAAGAGCAAUUGGAAAGCAAAGAACUUGAGCGACAGAAUUUGGAAACCUUCAAAGACCGGAUGACUGAAGAGUCCAAAGUGGAAGCAGAAUUGCAUGCUGAACGCAUAGAAGCUCUAAGAAAGCAGUUUCAAACCGAGAGAGAAACUGCAAAGAAAGUGGCACAACGGGAAGUGGCUGAGCUGAAGAAAGCCCUUGAUGAAGCUAACUUCAGAUCAGUGGAAGUGUCCCGGACCAACCGAGAGCUGCGACAGAAACUUGCAGAGCUAGAAAAAAUACUAGAAAGUAACAAGGAGAAAAUAAAGAAUCAAAAGACCCAAAUUAAGCUCCACUUGUCAGCUAAGGCGAAUAAUGCUCAGAAUAUAGAAAGGAUGAAGGUUGUAUGAGAAACCUCUUCUCACUUCCUGGAUACCCUGUGAGGAUGUAGUCAGUCAAUGAUGUCUGGGGAAGACAGGUUUUAGAACCAUACCAGCCCCAUGUACUCUCUGGGAAUUAUAGCCAGUUGUCUUUGGGGAGACUUUUUCAGUGGAGACGCUGCUGUGUAAAUGUUUGAUUUCUCAUUUGCUGCCAGUGUCACAUUCUGGCUCCCCAUCUGUCUCUUCCGUGUUGAUUGUACUGGACUUUACUCUUUGGGGAUCAGUGGGCUAGAUGGGAAAGAAAGCUCAGCAGGAACUGGUAACUUUGGUCUCAUAUUGGAUUCUUUCUGUCAUCCUAUAGGCAAAAAGAGCAAGCCAGUUUUUCCACUGAUCAUCUUUUUAUGUUAUUUUCCAAUUACUUUUAGCAAAUAGAAAAAGAAUUGAAGCAAA
rnacentral:sRNA from 1 species